rnacentral:rRNA from 1 species
UACGUAGGGACCAAGCGUUGUUCGGAUUUACUGGGCGUAAAGGGCGCGUAGGCGGUCACGACAAGUCAGUUGUGAAAUCUCCGGGCUUAACUCGGAACGGUCAACUGAUACUGUCGGACUAGAGUGCAGAAGGGGCAACUGGAAUUCUCGGUGUAGCGGUGAAAUGCGUAGAUAUCGAGAGGAACACCUGCGGCGAAGGCGGGUUGCUGGGCUGACACUGACGCUGAGGCGCGAAAGCUAGGGGAGCGAACGGG